CUUGAGGGAGCCGAGCAGCAGCGGCUGGGAGUCGCCCCGGUCCUGGCCGUAGGUGGCGAGGAGCGCCUGCGCCUC
rfam:Streptomyces sp. SolWspMP-5a-2 genome assembly, contig: Ga0115242_1171